rnacentral:rRNA from 1 species
UACGUAGGGGGCAAGCGUUGUCCGGAAUCAUUGGGCGUAAAGCGCGUGUAGGCGGUCCGGUAAGUCCGCUGUGAAAGUCGGGGGCUCAACCCUCGGAUGCCGGUGGAUACUGUCGGGCUUGAGUACGGAAGAGGCGAGUGGAAUUCCUGGUGUAGCGGUGAAAUGCGCAGAUAUCUGGAGGAACACCGGUGGCGAAGGCGGCAUCCUGGACCAAUAUUGACGCUGAGGAGCGAAAGCCAGGGGAGCAAACGGG